rnacentral:lncRNA from 1 species
CACGGCGACCCCCAUCUCCCCUCCCCGUGUCAUAAUAAAUCUCACGUUUUCUGCCGGCUGGAGGCUUGGAGCGGCAAAGGAACGGAUGAGUACAAAAAGUUGCUACCCUUGAAGUGUUACCUAUCACUAUCAACCACAGCUUGUUUAUUUGGAAAGAACUUAAGUGAACCGUCAAGAGAAAAACAAAUGCAUAUUCUUUCUACAAAUAGUAGCAUUUAGUAUCUUUCCUGACCACAUUUGCGAAAAGAGGGAAUAGAGACUUCUAUAAUUAAAGGGAAAAGGAAAAUGAAAGGAGCUGAAAAUAGUGAACUGUGUAGUCUGGAUGGCUGAAAUUUGAAAACACAUGAAAUUAUCAGGACUGCCAAACGGUGUUCCUGAGAAACCAUAUCACAGAUUGUGAAGAAAAUCAAUGCUAGAAGAGUCGGAACAGGCACCGUACUCUUACUCCUUUGAAGAAUCCCAGAAAUAGUUGUUGAGGUUUUUUUUUUCUGCUGAGAAAAAAAGAUAUAUUGGAAAUUAAGUCAUCAACAGUACCUUAAGCACCACUCUGUAGGUAAUUUUGGAUAGUGUCUUUUCUUUACAUUUUGAUAUAGGGAAGGAAUUAAUUCACAUCGACACAAACGAAGUAAUGGAUACCAUAUAACUUGUGUGAUACUGUAGCUUUUAUAAUGAAUUACUUCUUGAAAGUUUUUUUUCCUAUACAAUGUAUUAUUAAACAAUUGUAACGAUAGUCUCUUUUUGUUUAACUAUAGAAAAUGGUAGAUAGUGUGGUACAGCAAACAAGAUUAACAAAUUUUCGUUGGAGAGAAAUUAUUUGGGCUCAGGCUUGCAAUAACAUUAUGAUGAUUUUAAGAAAAAUUGCAGUUCCUGUGAGUUAUAUAUUGAUAAGGCAGAUUUUUAAACACUUAGUUGCUAAAAUUAGUUUUCCUAAAGUCGUAUUUGGGAAAGUCUGAG